UACAGAGGGUGCAAGCGUUGUUCGGAAUUAUUGGGCGUAAAGCGCGUGUAGGCGGCAUUGCAAGUCGGGUGUGAAAGCCCUCAGCUCAACUGAGGAAGUGCAUUCGAAGCUGCGUAGCUAGAGUUUUGGAGAGGAAGGCGGAAUACUCGGUGUAGAGGUGAAAUUCGUAGAUAUCGAGUGGAACACCGGUGGCGAAGGCGGCCUUCUGGACAAUGACUGACGCUGAAACGCGAAAGCGUGGGGAGCAAACAGG
rnacentral:rRNA from 1 species